UACGGAGGGAGCUAGCGUUGUUCGGAAUUACUGGGCGUAAAGCGCACGUAGGCGGCUUUGUAAGUUAGGGGUGAAAGCCUGGAGCUCAACUUCAGAAUUGCCCUUAAGACUGCAUCGCUUGAAUCAUGGAGAGGUGAGUGGAAUUCCGAGUGUAGAGGUGAAAUUCGUAGAUAUUCGGAAGAACACCAGUGGCGAAGGCGACUCACUGGACAUGUAUUGACGCUGAGGUGCGAAAGCGUGGGGAGCAAACAGG
rnacentral:rRNA from 1 species